GGUUUCUUGGAUUCACAACAAUCUAAGGAAAAUGAUAAAUAGAAAAAACAAGCCAUAUGUUAUAAAAUGAAACAAGACACCAAGUAUACUGAAAAGUACCGACAUCUGAAAAAAAACAAGUACAAAAAGAACAAAGAACUGCAUACUGGGGUUUUAUUGAAAAAAUCAUCAUCAUAUAUUAGACCUACCCUUAAAUGAACCCAACCAACAGUGCAACAAUCAAUCUAAACCUAAAAAGCUAUUUUCCUUUAUUAAAUCACUGAGCACAGAUAACACUGGUGUCACACCACUGAAAAAAGGACAGUUAAUAGCUGAUACAAAGCAAAAGGCAGACAUCCGGC
rnacentral:lncRNA from 1 species